rfam:Salmo salar isolate Sally breed double haploid chromosome ssa10, whole genome shotgun sequence.
UGCAACCAUAACUGUAAGUUGCUUUGGAUAAAAGCGACUGCUAAAUGGCAUAUG